CCGGCGCACGGGUGAGUAACACGUAUCCAACCUGCCGUCUACUCUUGGACAGCCUUCUGAAAGGAAGAUUAAUACAAGAUGGCAUCAUGAGUCCGCAUGUUCACAUGAUUAAAGGUAUUCCGGUAGACGAUGGGGAUGCGUUCCAUUAGAUAGUAGGCGGGGUAACGGCCCACCUAGUCUUCGAUGGAUAGGGGUUCUGAGAGGAAGGUCCCCCACAUUGGAACCGAGACACGGUCCAA
rnacentral:rRNA from 1 species